rnacentral:rRNA from 1 species
AUUGAACGCUGGCGGCAGGCUUAACACAUGCAAGUCGAGCGGGGUGAUGGUGCUUGCACUAUCACUUAGCGGCGGACGGGUGAGUAAUGCUUAGGAAUCUGCCUAUUAGUGGGGGACAACAUCUCGAAAGGGAUGCUAAUACCGCAUACGUCCUACGAGAGAAAGCAGGGGAUCACUUGUGACCUUGCGCUAAUAGAUGAGCCUAAGUCGGAUUAGCUAGUUGGUGGGGUAAAGGCCUACCAAGGCGACGAUCUGUAGCGGGUCUGAGAGGAUGAUCCGCCACACUGGGGCUGGGACACGGCCCAGACUCCUACGGGAGGCAGCAGUGGGGAAUAUUGGGCAAUGGGGGGAACCCCGAUCCAGCCAUGCCGCGUGUGUGAAGAAGGCCUUAUGGUUGUAAAGCACUUUAAGCGAGGAGGAGGCUCUUUUGGUUAAUACCCAAGAUGAGUGGACGUUACUCGCAGAAUAAGCACCGGCUAACUCUGUGCCAGCCGCCGCCGUAA